GCCGGGGUGGCGAAACGGCAGACGCGGGGGACUUAAAAUCCUCUGGGCUGGCGAAGCCCGUGCGGGUUCGAAUCCCGCUCCCGGCACCA
rnacentral:tRNA from 1 species